rnacentral:rRNA from 1 species
AGUGAACGCUGGCGGCGUGCUUAACACAUGCAAGUCGAACGAGAACGGAUUAUAGCUUGCUAUAAUUGUCAGCUAAGUGGCGCACGGGUGAGUAACGUAUAGGUAAUAUGCCUCUUACUAAGGGAUAACAAAUGGAAACGUUUGCUAAUACCUUAUACUCCUUAUUAACAGAAGUUAAUAAGGGAAAGAUUUAUUGGUAAGAGAUUAGCCUGUAUUGUAUCAGUUAGUUGGUGGGGUAAUGGCUUACCAAGACUAUGACACAUAACUGGUUUGAGAGGAUGAUCAGUCACACUGGAACUGAGACACGGUCCAGACUCCUACGGGAGGCAGCUGUGGGGAAUAUUGCACAAUGGACGAAAGUCUGAUGCAGCAACGCCGCGUGGAGGAUGACACAUUUCGGUGCGUAAACUCCUUUUAUAUGAGAAGAUAAUGACGGUAUUAUAUGAAUAAGCACCGGCUAACUCCGUGCCAGCAGCCGCCGCAG